rnacentral:rRNA from 1 species
AGUCAAGUAAUUAAGUGCAUGUGGUGGAUGCCUUGGCAGUCAGAGGCGAUGAAAGACGUGAUAGCCUGCGAAAAGCUCCGGGGAGGCGGCAAAUAUCCUUUGAUCCGGAGAUGUCUGAAUGGGGGAACCCACCUACUUUAAGGUAGGUAUUGCAACAUGAAUACAUAGUGUUGCAAGGCGAACGAGGGGAAGUGAAACAUCUCAGUACCCUUAGGAAAAGAAAUCAAUUGAGAUUCCCUCAGUAGCGGCGAGCGAACGGGGAUCAGCCCAUUAAGUUAUGUGUGUUUUAGUGGAACGCUCUGGGAAGUGCGAACGUAGAGGGUGAUAUUCCCGUACACGAAAGGGCACACAUAAUGAUGACGAGUAGGGCGAGGCACGUGAAACCUUGUCUGAAUAUGGGGGGACCAUCCUCCAAGGCUAAAUACUCCUGACUGACCGAUAGUGAACCAGUACCGUGAGGGAAAGGCGAAAAGAACCCCUGUGAGGGGAGUGAAAUAGAUCCUGAAACCGCAUGCAUACAAGCAGUGGGAGCACCUUCGUGGUGUGACUGCGUACCUUUUGUAUAAUGGGUCAGCGACUUAUAUUCAGUAGCGAGGUUAACCGUAUAGGGGAGCCGUAGAGAAAUCGAGUCUUAAUAGGGCGUUUAGUUGCUGGGUAUAGACCCGAAACCAGGCGAUCUAUCCAUGAGCAGGUUGAAGGUUGGGUAACACUAACUGGAGGACCGAACCCACUGUCGUUGAAAAGCCAGGGGAUGACUUGUGGAUAGGGGUGAAAGGCUAAUCAAGCCUGGUGAUAGCUGGUUCUCCCCGAAAGCUAUUUAGGUAGCGCCUCGGACGAAUACCAUAGGGGGUAGAGCACUGUUUCGGCUAGGGGGUCAUCCCGACUUACCAAACCGAUGCAAACUCCGAAUACCUAUGAGUACUAUCCGGGAGACAGACUGCGGGUGCUAACGUCCGUAGUCAAGAGGAAAACAAUCCAGACCGCCAGCUAAGGCCCCAAAAUCAUAGUUAAGUGGGAAACGAUGUGGGAAGGCAUAGACAGCUAGGAGGUUGGCUUAGAAGCAGCCACCCUUUAAAGAAAGCGUAAUAGCUCACUAGUCGAGUCGGCCUGCGCGGAAGAUGUAACGGGGCUAAAACUAUGUGCCGAAGCUGCGGAUGUAUACUUUGUAUACGUGGUAGGGGAGCGUUCUGUAAGCCGAUGAAGGUGUGUUGAGAAGCAUGCUGGAGGUAUCAGAAGUGCGAAUGCUGACGUGAGUAACGACAAAACGGGUGAAAAACCCGUUCGCCGAAAGACCAAGGGUUCCAGUCCAACGUUAAUCGGGGCUGGGUGAGUCGACCCCUAAGGCGAGGCCGAAAGGCGUAGUCGAUGGGAAAAUGGUUAAUAUUCCAUUACUUCUGUGUAAUGCGAUGAGAGGACGGAGAAGGCUAAAUCAGCCUGGCGUUGGUUGUCCAGGUGAAAGGAAGUAGGCAUGUAUCUUAGGCAAAUCCGGGGUACUCUAUGCUGAGAUCUGAUAGCAAGCUGUACUUGUACAGCGAAGUGGUUGAUGCCAUGCUUCCAGGAAAAGUCUCUAAGCUUCAGUUACACAGGAAUCGUACCCGAAACCGACACAGGUGGUCAGGUCGAGUAGACCAAGGCGCUUGAGAGAACUCUGCUGAAGGAACUAGGCAAAAUGGUACCGUAACUUCGGGAGAAGGUACGCUGUUGUUGGUGAUGGAACUCGCUUCCUGAGCUGACGACAGCCGCAGAAACCAGGCCGCUGCAACUGUUUAUUAAAAACAUAGCACUCUGCAAACACGAAAGUGGACGUAUAGGGUGUGAUGCCUGCCCGGUGCUGGAAGGUUAAUUGAUGGGGUUAGCGUAAGCGAAGCUCUUGAUCGAAGCCCCAGUAAACGGCGGCCGUAACUAUAACGGUCCUAAGGUAGCGAAAUUCCUUGUCGGGUAAGUUCCGACCUGCACGAAUGGCAUAAUGAUGGCGGCGCUGUCUCCAGCAGAGGCUCAGUGAAAUCGAAAUCGCUGUGAAGAUGCAGUGUACCCGCGGCUAGACGGAAAGACCCCGUGAACCUUUACUGCAGCUUGACACUGAACUUUGACCUUACUUGUGUAGGAUAGGUGGGAGGCUUUGAAGCUGGAACGCUAGUUCCAGUGGAGCCGUCCUUGAAAUACCACCCUGGUAAUGUUGAGGUUCUAACUCUGUCCCGUGAUCCGGGACGAGGACCGUGUCUGGUGGGUAGUUUGACUGGGGCGGUCUCCUCCUAAAGAGUAACGGAGGAGUACGAAGGUGCGCUCAGCGUGGUCGGAAAUCACGCGUAGAGUAUAAAGGCAAAAGCGCGCUUAACUGCGAGACCCACAAGUCGAGCAGGUACGAAAGUAGGUCUUAGUGAUCCGGUGGUUCUGUAUGGAAGGGCCAUCGCUCAACGGAUAAAAGGUACUCUGGGGAUAACAGGCUGAUACCGCCCAAGAGUUCAUAUCGACGGCGGUGUUUGGCACCUCGAUGUCGGCUCAUCUCAUCCUGGGGCUGAAGCAGGUCCCAAGGGUAUGGCUGUUCGCCAUUUAAAGAGGUACGCGAGCUGGGUUUAGAACGUCGUGAGACAGUUCGGUCCCUAUCUACCGUGGGCGCUGGAAAUUUGAGAGGAUCUGCUCCUAGUACGAGAGGACCAGAGUGGACGAACCUCUGGUGUACCGGUUGUGACGCCAGUCGCAUCGCCGGGUAGCUAUGUUCGGAAGGGAUAACCGCUGAAAGCAUCUAAGCGGGAAGCCUACCUCAAGAUAAGAUUUCCCUAGGACUUUAUGUCCUCUAAAGAGCCGUUCGAGACUAGGACGUUGAUAGGUUGGAUGUGGAAGCAUAGUGAUAUGUGAAGCUGACCAAUACUAAUUGCUCGUGAGGCUUGACUAUACAACACCC